rnacentral:rRNA from 1 species
AACGAACGCUGGCGGCGUGCCUAACACAUGCAAGUCGAGGGAGAACGGUGGCUUCGGCUGCCUAGUAAACCGGCGCACGGGUGAGUAACACGUAGGUAACGUACCCUGGAGUCUGGGAUAACCAGUCGAAAGACUGGCUAAUACCGGAUACGACUGCGGAAGUUCAGGCUUCUGUAGUGAAAGACGGCCUCUGUUUACAUGCUGUCACUUCUGGAUCGGCCUGCGCACCAUUAGCUAGUUGGUGAGGUAACGGCUCACCAAGGCUGAGAUGGUUAGCUGGUCUGAGAGGAUGGCCAGCCACACUGGGACUGAGACACGGCCCAGACACCUACGGGAGGCUG